UCUUGCCAUAAUUUGGGUCCUACAAGGUUGCGGGAGAAACCAUCAUCUUUCCGGUGAGAAACCAAAACAAGACGUUUAUUUCAAACACGCGAUUAUCAGGAACUGCGCAGCUGGAGUGGAAAGAGAGUCGUUUCCAUGACUUUUACAGGAUACAAAGGGAGAUGCCAUUAAACAAUGGAAUAGAUGCAAACUCUGAAAUAUUCACUGAAAGCAAAGGAGUCAGGCGUAUUUUAGAGUUACAGAGGGUCCUCCACACAGCUUGUGUCGUCCAUGGUGUAUAUGAAGACUCUUCUCUUGUUUUGACACACGGACUAAGACUUCCUCUGGUCUGGAGCCAGGACUUCCUAUGACACACAAGCAGGGGAUUGAACGUUGUGAUUCAACAUUACCCUCAUCAUGGGUUUUUCAGGGUAUAGUCUGGCUACUGGCUACUUCUAUUUUGGAUACUAUGCUUUCUGAGUAUACUUCCAGUGUUCACAUAUAAACCCACCAGAACUAAACUAAUUUUUAUAAAAGGACUUUAAUAAAUAAAAAUAAUUAACUUAAUAUUUACUUGUCUUGGCAAUGUUUGAAUGCUGAUGUGUCCUAUCAGACUGAUUUAAACAAUUAAGCUGGCUACACUAUCAAACUUUAUAGUCGGUUUUUAACCCUGUUUUAUUAGUAUCUAUGUAAUCCCUGAUUAUGUGAUUAGCCACUUGUAUCACAGCAGAUUGAUUCACACGCAUUUGUUAUUAUAUUAAUAAAAAUUGUAUGUUCCUCCAAAUCCUCUUAUAUGCUGUAUGGCCA